AACCAUUACUAUAUGUCAAAGAACUAAAAAAAAAAUGAAAAACAGCAAAGUUAUAAUUUUUUUUAUUUAUUCUUCCGAUUAUUCCUACGGUAGCUAUAUACUAUAGUCGUCCGAUCCAGCUCGUUCCGACUUAUAUACUACCUGCAAUAGAAAGACAAAUUUUGGGAAAGUUUCAUGCAGAUAGCUUUAAAACUGAUAGUUUAGUUUGCUUAGAAACGGACAGACGGACAGGGAUAGAUCGACUCUCCAAGUGAUGCUGAUGCAAGAAUAUAUACACUUAAAGGGUCGGAAAAGUAUCCACUGGGUCUGCGCAUUGUCUUCAGACUUUACGAGGCUACGUUUGUACAUCGAAACAUCUGUUAAGAGUAUGAAUAAAUUUAAUUUGAAAAAAAAAACUUAUUACAAAAGUCAAAAAUGGAAGAUAUUGAUUGAUUCUCAUGGUGAAGAUUUCGGCUGUACUUCCAAAAAUCGUCAACGGCCGAUCAUUUUAAAAAUUUCAGGAUCCAUGUAUUUUGGGGUUCUGAUUACGAAAAAAUAAAUCUAAGUUUGCGAAAAAUACCUUUUUCUUUGAAAAUAACGGUAAAAACAGUUAUUUUUGUUUUUUUUUUUUGCAAUAAUCGCGCUGUUUCUUUUCCAUUGUCCGUUCUUUCUUCAAUCCCGUCCUCUAUUCCCUCACCAUUCACCAGAUCUGCAAGCAGGCAUAAUAAACAGAAAGUAAUACCAAAAAUGUAACAUUUUUUAACGAAAAUGUACCAAAAACUAAGCUACAGAAUAUUAAUUAUGUAGAACAAAAUUAAAAACAAUAAUAAAAACCAUAGUCAAAAAACGAAAAUAAAAUUUCAAAAACCAUAAGGUUCAUUUAAUAAAAUAAAAUAUGAUGUUUAGUCAAGUGCACACUGAUUUUAUGUCAGAGAAAUAUAAAAUGUUAUCAAGCAGGAAGCGUUAACUACUUGAAAACCUUAGAGAUGAGCAAUUAAGCGAUAGUUUGGCAAAAUAUCGAUAAAAGUUUGGUGAUGCCAAGCCGGUUCAAUAAUGGAGCGCUCAUUUCAAAAUGACUGUUUCAAGGCAAACGUUUUCUGUAUUUUUUCGUAAACUAUUAGCUUGACGCAAAAAAGUCACUAAAUUAAUGUGUGUUUCAACAAGACCUCAAACUUUUAUUAAACGGUUUUUUUAAUAAAGCUUACAUUAUAUCACUCUGCUACUGUCUUAUCUUCGUGUCGGACACUGCUGUUAUUACUGCUAGAUCUCCUUACCCGCUCACCGUUAACAUCUCUCUUAAAUUUCGAUUUUCCUAACCCCAUCCUAAUUAUACCAUUCCCACUGUUGACAUAUACAAGGUCUUUGAAUUCCCAACCUUCAUCCUCCAAUGAUGUACAAGCACCUAAUCAACCCACUUCACUGCUGAUUUCGCCGCAACUGGGAAUACUAUGUUAUUAAAAUCCAAACCCUCAUCUACCAAUAAUGUAAAGCUGUAAAAACCUUCGAUAUUUUCGAUUGUGAUAGUUUGAACCAUCGAUAAUAUUGAUACUAUCGACUUAAAAACAUUUUUUAUAUGUUUUAUUGUUUUCAUAGUUCAUUGUACUACCGUUUCAAUUUAUUUUAAUUAAUAUUAUGAAUUCAAACAAAAGACAACAAUAAUAUUCGGCCUUUGGGAAGUUAAGGAAUGUUAGUAACAUUAUUAAAGUAAAUAAAUAAAAAAAUGAGAUCCAUUCAUUGGAAAGUAAAUAAAUCAUUAUGGACGACAGUACAUGGAGUGACGAUGCGCACCAAAAAAUCUGCUGCGAUGGUCGUGACGAGUAAUACGCCAAUUGAAAGCAAUACUUAAGGCCGAACUCAGACCGUCGCUCAGAUGAGAAGUGGUCAAAGCGACAAUGGAAGGGACAUUUUUGGACGCUUAAAAUUUCAAGUGUUUGGCAAAUAUCGCCACGGAUGUGAAUUACACGGCCCCAUAUUGAAGGCGUUUGCCAACCGGGUCAACUUAUCCUGAGGAGCUCCAAGGGAAAAGAAGGGACGUACUGAAAAGACGUAGUUGGACGUGCGGCUGGAGUGCGGGACUAAUGCCUCUCAUUCCAGAUUAGAUUUCGCAAGUUCAACGUUGGUUAUUGUCGAAGCUGAAGUCAGAAGAAGCGACCGCUAGCGGCCAGGACUAGCUCAGGCUCUGCGCCAGAGGGCCCGGAGACAGUGCGUCGGUGGUCCAGAGAUGACCACGUGGUCAGCGCGGGUAUUCGUUCCCGGAACGGUCUCACCGAGUGAAUCUCCGUAUGUGGCCGUCUCGGAGGCCGUUGCUGGAGCUGCUGACGCUGGAUGCUGCUGCUGCUGCUGAUCUGAUCGCUGCUGCAGAUCGCUGCUGCAGUUGCUACGGAUCACUGCUGCUGCCACGGAUCACGGCUGCUGCUGGUGGACGACGUGGUCUUCACGACCAGGUUAGGUCCGCCAGCAACUUAAGCACAAAAAAUCGCUGGGACGAAAUUGCGGCGAUACACUUCCUGACCUGGCUUCCCAAGGAAAGUAUGAGCCCUUUCGUCGUACCGCAGCCGACUCCGAUCGUAUGUAUUUUCGAGGUUCUUCUGCACCUUGUCAUGCAUCACUUGGAGUUUAUCAGCCGUUCCCAACCCCGUCAUUUCGUGAUCACACAGCGACUUCAACUUCCUUGCCAACUUGUAGCUGGCUCCGUUCAGAAACAUGUGUCGUCCGAAUACGGCGAAGAACGGAGCUUCUCCAGUUGCUGAAUGAACCGCGUUGCGGAUGGCCACCUCAAUCUCCGGAAGAUACGCGUCCCAUUCUCGAUGGUCUUCUUCAAAAUAGUUUCGGAUCGCCGCCAACAUGCUUUGGUUUACCCUUUCCGCUGCGUUGCUUUGCGGAGAGUGGACUGGCGUUUUGAUGUGCCUAAUGCCAAAGCUUUCCAUCGCCUCCUCGAAGAUGUUGGACGUAAACUGGCGGCCGUUGUCCGAAUGCACCAUUUCUGGAACCCCAAACUUGUAGAAAACCUCGUGAAUGAGGAACUCCACUACAUUUGAGGCCGAUGCCUCUUGCAUGGCUUUCAGAAAAGUGUAUUUGGAGAAGUGAUCCACCACAAUGAAGAUGUAGGCCUGUCCCUUCAUCGACAUAGGAUAUUUCCCCAGGAAAUCGAUGUACAGCUUCUGAAAUGGCUGCUCAGUCUGGACUCUCUCACCGAUACAAACUUGCAUCCGCAAAUUCGGGGAUUUCGUCUCCUUACAGACUUCACACCUGCGUAUGGACUCCCGGACUUGCAGUGCCAUGCCAGGCCAGUAAAACUGCCGCCGUAGGUUUUCCAGAGUUUUUCCCAUUCCGACAUGAGCUGGCGUUGGAUCCGAAUGUGCAUCAAUUAUGCUGUGAGUCAGACUCUGAGGAAUCCACAACUUCUAUUCGAAGCCUUCCACCUCGUCAUCCAGAUUUGCCGAAGAGACUCUCUUGAAGAUGAGACCGUCCACUAUCCUCAAGUCAGCAAACUCAGUGGUCUCGAAGCCGAGUAACUCUGACUGGUCCAGUGUUAGCUCUUCAACACAACGCGAAAGUAUAUCUGCCACGACGUUCUCGCUUCCUUUCCUGUGUUCGAUGUUGAAGUGAUAUCCCUGGAGUUGCAAUGACCACCGAGCCAGCCGACCCGAAAGGUCUUUUAUGGACAUAAGCCACUUCAAGCUGGCAUGAUCCGUGAUGCACGUAAACGGCAUUCCUGCCACAUACGGCCGGAACUUUCGAAUGGCCAGCAGGGCUGCGAGGCACUCUUUUUGGGUGACGGUGUAGUGCACUUGGUGACAAUUCAUCUUGGCCGAGAAGAACUCUAUGGGUUGUUCCUGGCCGUCUUCAUCCCGCUGGAACAACACUGCACCGACUCCGAUCUGGGAUGCAUCGCACUGGAUGAAAAAGUGCCGCUUGAAGUCCGCAUAUACCAAAACUGGCGCAGUAGUUAGGGCCAUUUUCAAGGACUCUACUGCCAGCUGUGCUUCUGGACUCAAGGAAAACUUCUUAUUUCCCGUCUUCUUCAAGGAUUCCGUGAGCGGAGCUGCCAACGUCGCGGAGUUCUUUAUAAACCGACGGUACCAACCAGCGGUUCCAAGAAAGGCUCUCACUUCUUUCAUGAUCCUUGGCUCAGGCAUCCGCCUAAUAGCUGCUACACGCCCUGGAUCCAUCCGCAAACGUCCUCCACCCACUAUGAAGCCGAGGCAUUCAGCGACUCGGCGAAGAUACUUCAUGGGCGUUCUCAUGUCUGGCGCUAGUAUUAGCAGGUCAUCCAAGUAGACAACUACAUUCGAGCGGAUCUUAGCUGGAAUUACUCGGUCCAUGAGUCUCACCAGCCUCUGUGAUGCGUUACAGUGUCCGAAAGGCCUCACGUGGUAAAGAGGCCGACCAGGAAUCGUAAAGCCUUUGUAUUCUUUGCUGCUCGUGUCCAACUCAAUCUGGCAAAAAGCGAACUUCAAAUCCACUCUGGAAAUGUAGUACAUUUGGUCGAUUCUGGACAGGAUGCCGUCUAUGCUGGGCAACGGACCUUGACACCACGGUGGUGCGGUUGUUCCAGGGGCUUUUGAUUUCCUCGAUGACUCCGAGCGCUAGCAUCUUGUCGACCUCGUCCUCGACCACCUUCUGCUUCGCGGGAGACAUCGGAUAGGGUCGAUCCUUGAAAACAUCAGCUCAAUAGUGUGCUUCUCCAGACUGGUGGUACCUAAGCCAUCCCUCUCGAAAGUCAAGAACUGCUGCUUGAUCUCCUCUAGCUCUUGUUCCUCGGCUUCGGAAAGCGUCCAGGACUCGGGAUCGGCUAUUUCCUCAUCGUCAUCCUCGACCUCAGCGUAGUGCUCCAUCCUUCGGGAUCGAUGUGGCCUAUAAUUGCUGGGGCCAGUCCGAAUGCUUGCCAAAAAUCCACACCAAAAUAGCUGGCUGCUCCAGGUUAGGACAUAAAUAGAAGAGAAUGUGCUCUGUCCGUCCUCGGUAUUCCACCGGUAGCUUGACCCGUCCUAUAAUUGACCGAUCCUCUCCAGACGCCGUUCGGACUGCUGAUAAGUACUUCUGAACGGGCACAUCCAAUGCCUCAACCAGCUCUCUGCCACCUUUACGAAGCAGACUAACUCUCGCUCCAGUGUCCAACAACCCCGUCAGUUGCUUCGUUAGGACUUGGCCUGCAGUGAAUGGUCUGGGAUCGCGCUGUAAUUCUCUCGGCACUUAGCUCCCUUACACUGUGUGCGAUCGUUGAUUUUUUAUUACAUUAU